rnacentral:lncRNA from 1 species
UGGAGGGUCCGAACAGUUACCCACUUUACGACGUUGAGUUCCAGUUGACGGCGAACGGCAGUGGUGCUACGGUAUUAGUUCGGUGUCAGGGUUCGAGCGUUUUUCGGCGUUUCAGAGUCGUUUUUUAGCGUUGGGUUUCGGCGGGUCCGUUUCAACAUUGGGUUUCCGACGGGUCUGUUUCAGCGUUGGAACCAAUCUCGAUAUCGGAGCCAUUUCAGUCGAACGUGAGUCUCUCAGUUUUUCUUGGCAUUUGGUCGACGGUACAGUUGGAUUUGUAUUGUGGUUAAUAACAGAUUGCUAUUUUGUUGAAUUCUGUAAUUGGUCGUUAAUAUGAUAGUAAUGAUCUAUUAGUUAAUAUGAGCACAGUGAUAUUAGUCUAUGAAUGAUAGACUUGUAUCUAUCUAGUAGUCUAUCAAUGAUAUUUAGUCAAUCGAUGAUAUACUCUAUCUUUUAUAAAUGAUAUAUAUGAGUGUAAGGCUAAGAUGAUAAUUAUAUAUAUAUUUUUUUCUUUUUUUACAGUAAUUUAUAAUUAUGAUUAAUGACUGUGAUGGGUGUAACACUACCUCAUUUGCAAGCUUCAUACUGUAAAAAGGCCACGAAAACAAAAUCAUUUGCAAGCUUCAUACUGUAAAAAGGCCACGAAAACAAAAGAAAUAUGAUUGAUGAGAAGAUGAGGUCACAACUGCAAAAGUGCACACUUUCACUAUUUUUACAACGAUGUAACAUUAUGUUCUUGAGAUAAGAAUAAUUUUGCUUGAAGAUUAAGAACGUUUUUUUGUUAGCACUAAAUACAUUUUAUUUGUUUGACUAAAACCUUACAUAAGAACUUACCUUUACAUGUAGGUGGCUUUCUCGUGUCCAUACAAGUGGCAACCCCUUCAAAAAAAUCAAAAGCACAACUUCAAACAGAUUGGCAUAUAGACCAUACGACGUCCACCACAUAAUGAAAAGCUUCAAACAAAAUAUUCAUAAUUAAGCAACGGCCCUAACAACAUAUCAUCAUCUUCAAGAUCUAGAAAUAGACACAACCAGAGAUUUAAUAGGGAAAACAUGUUCCCCAUUCAAAAUCUACAAAGCAUCAACAAAUUAGAAACAAUCCAGAAAAUAAUGAGUAUACAGAAUUUUUUAGAUAAUGAAAAAUGAAGUCUGCAGAAUAAUAUAUCUACAUAUUCUAGAAGACAUUGUG